rnacentral:rRNA from 1 species
AGCGAACGCUGGCGGCAGGCUUAAUACAUGCAAGUCGAGCGCCUGUAGCAAUACAGGAGCGGCAGACGGGAGAGUAACACGUGGGAACAUGCCCUUCAGUUCGGAACAACCAAGGGAAACUUUGGCUAAUACCGGAUACGCCCUUACGGGGAAAGAUUUAUCGCUGAAGGAUUGGCCCGCGUCUGAUUAGCUAGUUGGUGAGGUAAUGGCUCACCAAGGCGACGAUCAGUAGCUGGUCUGAGAGGAUGAUCAGCCUCAUUGGGACUGAGACACGGCCCAAACUCCUACGGGAGGCAGCAGUAGGGAAUAUUGGACAAUGGGGGCAACCCUGAUCCAGCCAUGCCGCGUGAGUAAUGAAGGCCUUAGGGUUGUAAAGCUCUUUCGGCGGGGAAGAUAAUGACGGUACCCGCAUAAGAAGCCCCGGCUAACUUCGUGCCAGCCGCCGCAGUAACAC